rnacentral:misc_RNA from 1 species
GAAUCUCUCAAAGGGUUUGGUUCAUACACACUCUUUGGAUUUUGGGUCUUGCCGUGAAAUUUAUCUUGGCUCACCUUGAAAGCAUUAGCAAGCUUUUAGUACUCAAGUCUUUUGAUGAGGGCGUUCUAAUUGUGGUCAAGCCUUGAAAACAUCAUAGAGUGACUUAAGUUGUGGUUCUGAAGCUAGCUUCCAAUCAUCCUUAUAGGAUGGGCAUUGAGCUCCUUCAAUGUAU